GCCAGCGUGGCACAGUGGUUUGAGAGUUGGACUAGGACUCUGGAGAGCAGGGUUCGAAUCCCAGCUUGGCC